ACCGAAUUAGAUUUGUAUCUGCUAUGAGGCACUUUCCUUUCAUAAGGGAAACGAUCCAAGGAGAUGUAUUGGUAUACAGUAUGUCCAUAUUGUCACCAGCUGAUAUAGCUCAACUUGACAGCAUGGAAAAUAAUAGCUCCAACAGCUAUAAUGUUUAACACUUCCAACUCCGUUCUCUUUUUCUAAAAUUAAUAUAUUGUACACUGAAAUAAAAUAAACAUUGAAUUGAAGCACGAUUAUAAAAAUUACUAAGAAAAAUAAAUAUUUGUCUUGGAAGUGAAAAUAUUGCCGUUUCCUUUUUGAAGAUAAAAGGCUUGCAACAUUUUCAA